GCUUGUCUCAAAGAUUAAGCCAUGCAUGUCUAAGUAUAAACGACUUUAUACUGUGAAACUGCGAAUGGCUCAUUAUAUCAGUUAUAGUUUAUUUGAUGGUCCUUGCUACUUGGAUAACCGUAGUAAUUCUAGAGCUAAUACAUGCAUCAAGCCCCGACUUCUGGAAGGGGUGUAUUUAUUAGAUGGAAACCAAUGCGGGGCAACCCGGUAUAUGGUGAUUCAUAAUAACUUUCGGAUCGCAUAGCUUCACGCUGGCGAUAGUUCAUUCAAAUUUCUGCCCUAUCAGCUUUCGACGGUAGUGUAGUGGACUACCGUGGCGUUAACGGGUGACGGAGAAUUAGGGUUCGAUUCCGGAGAGGGAGCCUGAGAAACGGCUACCACAUCCAAGGAAGGCAGCAGG
rnacentral:rRNA from 1 species